AUUUUAUCCCCUGAACUGCAGUCUGGGCAAACUAAGGACAGGAGCGGCGACACAGUUGCUGGUUAAUUAAAUUAAAUAACGAAUGAGCAGGAGAUAGACAGGGCAGUCUGCAGGUACACACACACAAGGGCAUGACAAAACCAGGGAAAUUAUUCGGCUUUUUACAUAUCGUGGUGCUCAAGAUUAUCCGAUUAUUUACGGUCAACCGUACAGUGACUUACCCAUGCACAGCCACAUGGUGUUUUCACUUCAUCGGCUCUGGGUGGAAGAACUUGUCCCAUGGCAUUGACGGGCAGGAAGAGGAAGAGCUCUGAGAAAGAGGAGCAACACCCAUUGGAGGACAACUGGGAACUGCACUCUGGAGAGCUCCAUAGGUUCUUUGAGUGUGAGCAGGCUGUGAACGUGCCGACAGGGACUUUAGCAGCUAAGGCUGUUGGAGAUGUCGAUGUACCCUCUAUGGAACCCGCUUCCACUCUAGCUCACUGUGGAACCGAGUUUGAUAUAAAAGACCGGCGAGACGAGUCGACAGGGGAAGCACAGCGGAACGACUCUGCAGGCAGUCUUCCAAGAACCAGUGUUGAGUGUGGUUUUACAGAGGCCAGUGGGGGACAGGGAGCCCCCGAGUCUCAGAAAUGCAGCAUCCUGACAGAGCUGCAAAUCCGCGGGAACCUCCUUGGCACCAAUCUCCCAGGGUCAGUUCACGGCUCAGAAGAACCAGAAAUAAAGAGCACUGUGGUCCCUGGAGGGGCAGGUGGCCAACACAGUGACCAACUGAUGCAUGAAGAGGAGAAGGGGCCUGGCUCCUGUGGAGAGAAUAUACUUGGUGUGAUGCAGGGUGUUCAGGAGAGUGCUCCAACAAAGGUGAGACUGCGGAGGAGGAUGGGAGCGUGGGAUUUUAGAGAUCGGGAGAGGAGGAACCACUGUGAAAGCCAGCUCAUGGGCCGUUGUCUAAGGAAGGGUGAAAACAAUGGAGAAGGAGAAAGACCUCAAGUGGAGGAAGAGAGUAAUGAGGAGGACCGAAAGGAUGAAGGAAGUGCAAAUUCGGACUCUGACAAAGGUGUCACAACCCGCAGUUCAGGACCAUUGGUCAGUGAGGUGUUUGUACACAGGGCUUUUCUCUCAGAUGGUCAUGGAAAGUUGAACCCUGCAGAUGACUGUGAGAGACGAUCUACAGCGGUCACCUCAGCUCCAGAUGAGUCUUUGGGCAGUGACCCGAAAAAGGAAGGGCCUUCUCGACCUGGAGCAUCUGCUACGCAUACAGUAAGAGAGUCGAAGUGUUUAUCCACGGAGAGUUUUUCCCAAGUGAUCGACUCCACCCCCUUGGCACCACCGUUUGUGCAGACCACUAGUGAAGGUCAAGAAAAUCCUUGUGAGAUGGAGGGUUUUCUGUUCAAGGAGAGGGCAAAUGAUGAGGAAGAAGAGAUUCUUCUCAGAGAUGAGCCACAGAAAAGUAUGAGGCUUGAGGCCAUGAACUAUACUGUGAUGGAGGAGGACAAAGUCCUUGGCUUUACCGUGCCUCAAAGUGACACACAGCACCGCAGCCUCUGUGACACGUUACCACAGGAAAACGCACCCAGCUCAGCUCAGCCAGGGGUCCUGCCAGUGGUCACAGCGGGCUGUGGUGCCCUUGGGAACACCAGCAAAGAUGCUGUCCAGCUUUUGUCUGUCAAGCCCUGCUCUGCUGCAGACUUCCCAGGGUGUACUGAGCUCGAGGAGGAGACCAGAGCCGGUGCUAACUCACACACACUUCACAAACUGAAUGAUGGGGAGGCAAGGUGUCUGGGUGCAGUACCAGCCUGGGAACUGUCAGCCAAUAUUGGAACAAACCUUUUAUGUGAUAAUCCACUUGCUGGGGAUUGCAGAGCAUCCCUGAGUGUUGAAGAUAUUGGUGAAUUGGAGGAAUAUCGUGGCAAUACUUGUGGAGCUGACUUGGUAACAGGUACCAGGAAGCCACCCGCCACCGAGCCGAUUCCCCCGAAAAUCGCCCUGGAAGUGGGUGGCCCGUUUCCUCCGAGUUGUGCGGCUGUGAAGGUAGAUGCGCAUGUCGCCCAAGUAAACUGUCAGACUGAGACUCGGAUGAAUUCUGAUCCGGCUUCACUCAAAGGCACCACCAUCUGUCUCAUCCAGCAGACAGACAGUGAGGAUAAGACAGCUCCCCCUCAUUCUGUAGAUGCCCCUACCCUUAGGGAUCUGGAGGCAGCCUGUCUGGCCAGUAGCGGUGGUCCUGCAGUAACCUCAGUGUCGCCCCCUGCCUCUGUGGAGGAUCCCUUGUCCUGGAAGAAUCUAGUGCAGAACCUCAGCACUGAGGUGCGAGAUGAGUCACUGUCCCCAGUAGAUGGCGGGUCUUUAGACACCUGUCUCAGCUCUGCUGCCUCUCGGUCAUCCAUGCCAAACAGCCCCCCAGCUUGCACUGUCCCCACUGUCCUCGAUCCUGAGGUCUCAUUCUCCCUCUUCUCGCUGUCUGACUCCCAAAUAGACAACCUCAUGCUCAGUCAAAUGGACGACCAAGCCCCAUACCCCACUGAGGAGGAGGAAGAUGCCACUGAACUUAUGUGUGGACUUAUUAAGGAGCUUUCUUCCCUUAAUCAGACAGUGAUGGCUGCCCACAGGGAGCUGGAAAGCCUGCGCCGUGGCAACAAAACCUCGAGACCUCCCAUCACUUGGUCUUCUUGCCCCCCAAAGCAUUGAAUUUGGAGGUAGUGGAGCAAUGUAGUCUCAUCCCACGUUUGCUCUUUGCAUGCAGCUGCAGUUGUGGAAAAGGCUUUAAUUUUUCCUCCUUUCAUCCAUUCACACUAUGGCUGCCUUGACUGCUGCACUCUGUUCCUGACCAGCGGGGUUCACCUCCUGCACUGUGCAGCAAGGCUGUAAAAUGCCUUUGUGAGGUCUACUGGUUUUUGCCCUACCUCACAACUUGUUCAGUUGAAUAGGGCCAUGACUCUCGGCUCCGGUCCACAGUGCGUUAAACUUCUUACGAGUUUUGUUGCGAGAGGGAGUGUUCAGUUGGACCAUCUGGAGUGAGAUGUUACUGAUUUCAGCACUGAAGCCUGAAUAGCUAAACGUACAGUGACCUGCAAGGUCCCAGGUUGCCUAUCAUUGGAGCCAUUUGUCUGCUCCCCCUUUCUCUUUUGUCUGACUAAUCUGAGGGGACCAGAGGACUGGGGUUUCCCUUGGUCUUCAAGAUCACUGACCCAGACAAACAGUGUUGAUGUGGAACAUCAACGAAGCCUCAGUGGGCUUUGGUUCCUUUUUAAGGCUGGGCUGUACCAUGAGGGGCUAAUGUACUUUUUGGCCAGGCUCUUGGCUUCUUAAACAAAUGAUUUCCCUAACUGCACUAAUGUAACCUUCUCGCUCAGUGCUUAGGAUCUUAAACGUGUCAAAAGAGCUAAAUAACCCAAACAGAGUGGAGUCCUACAGGAGAAGGAUUAGACAACCCAGAAUUAAAGAUUUAAUUACUUUGCUGGAAGAGUGUGUGCUUCAAAUUAAUGAAGGUGACAGCUUGUUUCCAUGAAGGGCCAAGUUUUCACUCUAAAUGCUCCUCCUAGUUAUCCUGUCUGCACUUUGCUAUUUUUUUCCAUUCGAUUUUGGUGCCUUUAGUCCACACCUGAUAAAUGCGGUGUUUUUUUGAAGCAUGCAUUUAUGUUUGUAUAAUUAUAAACCUGGAAUUAAACCAGUUAGACCAGGGAAAGGA
rnacentral:lncRNA from 1 species